GUGAAUCAUCGAAUCUUUGAACGCAAAUUGCACUCUCCGGUUUUCCGUGAGAGUAUGCCUGUUUGAGGGUCAGCCUAAAAAAAAUCGACCUUGUUGCUGUUAUUUAAUGGUUACUUUCGUCGGAGAAUGGGUUAUCUUAAACCUUUUUUUUUUUUUUUUUUAAGCGACUUAAAAUUUUUCUUCUCGAUUCCAUUAACGUUUUUACGAUUUUUAUUUUUUUUAUGUUUAAGUUUUAUCGUUCUUUU
rnacentral:misc_RNA from 1 species